rnacentral:misc_RNA from 1 species
AUAUAUCAACCUCUUCAGCUUUUUGCAAGUUGAGUGUUGGAUGUGGGGGUAUUUUUUGCUGGACUCUAUACAAUCUGAGGUCAGCUCCCCUAAAAUGCAUUAGCGAAACUAUUUGUUUACUGCUCAUUGGUGUGAUAACUAUCUACGCUAUUGACGGUGAAGCAUGUUUAGCUUCUAACAGUCCAUUAACUUGGACAAUCUCUUAUUA